UGGUCCUGGCCCUGAAGUCAGUUAUUACUUAGUAUACACAUGCAAGUCUCCGCCCCCCUGUGAAAACGCCCUUAAACCUCUUUAAGAGAUAAGGAGCUGGUAUCAGGCACAAACAUUAGCCCAAGACACCUAGCCAUGCCACACCCACACGGGAAUUCAGCAGUGAUUAACAUUGUUUAUAAGCGACAGCUUGAAUCAGCUAAAGUAAAGAGAGCCGGCAAAUCUGGUGCCAGCCGCCGCGGUUACACCAUGUGGCUCAAACUGACCUCCCUCGGCGUAAAGCGUGAUUAAAGUACUCCUCCCCAUCUGCAGUUAAAUUAAAAUUAAGCUGUGACACGCUUAUUAUUAAGAAAAUCAAAAACGAAAGUUAUUGCAGACCUAAAAGCUUGAAUUCACGACAACUAGGACACAAACUGGGAUUAGAUACCCCACUAUGCCUAGUCGUAAACCUUUUACUUACACCCACAUCGCCAGGGAACUACGAGCAAAGCUUAAAACCCAAAGGACUUGACGGUACCCCAUAUCCACCUAGAGGAGCCUGUCCUAUAAUCGAUAACCCCCGCUUAACCUCACCAUUUUUAGCCUAUCAGCCUGUAUACCUCCGUCGUCAGCUUACCACGUGAGCGCCAACUAGUGAGCUAAAUGCCCUUACACCAAUACGUCAGGUCAAGGUGCAGCAUAUAAAAUGGGAAGAGAUGGGCUACACUAUCUAGCAUAGAUCAUACGAAAGACUAUUAUAUGAAAUCUAGUCAGAAGGCGGAUUUAGAAGUAAAGAAAGACCAAAGUGCUUUCUUUAACCCGGCACUGGGGUGUGUACACACCGCCCGUCACCCUCUUCGAAGCCAUAAGACAGUUUUUAACACCUAUAAGCAUUAAAGAAGAGGCAAGUCGUAACAUGGUAAGUAUACCGGAAGGUGUGCUUGGAAA
rnacentral:ncRNA from 1 species